rnacentral:tRNA from 2 species
GUAGGCGUGGCAGAGAGGCUUAUUGCGCUUGGCUUGAAACCAAGAGGCUGUAACAGGUCCGAGGGUUCAAAUCCUUCCGCCUACG